rnacentral:rRNA from 1 species
GCCGAAUCGAAACUCCGCGAUUGGGACUAAGUCGUAACAAGGUAGCCGUAGGGGAACCUGCGGCUGGAUCACCUCCUUU